rnacentral:rRNA from 1 species
UACAGAGGUCCCUAGCGUUGCUCGGAAUCACUGGGCGUAAAGCGCACGUAGGCGGAUUGCUAAGUCAGGGGUGAAAUCCUGGAGCUCAACUCCAGAACUGCCUUUGAUACUGGAGAGCUCGAGUCCGGGAGAGGUGAGUGGAACUGCGAGUGUAGAGGUGAAAUUCGUAGAUAUUCGCAAGAACACCAGUGGCGAAGGCGGCUCACUGGCCCGGUACUGACGCUGAGGUGCGAAAGCGUGGGGAGCAAACAGG